UUAUGGUCAUACCAUGUUGAAACAUUGGUUUCCAUAUGAUCACCAAAGUUAAGUAGAGUUGAGCCUGGUCAGUACCUAGAUGGGUGACCGUUUGGGAUAACAGGUGCU